GUUUUGUCAGCAGCUAUGUGGAGGUUUGGGGUAGGUAAUGUAUCUCAUGAUCUUUCCUUUCUCAUCUUACCCUCACAGUUCUCUACAGUCUUCAAGGACUAGCAGAAAAUGAUCACAUCCCAGAAUUUAAAAUUUCUCAGUGACUGCAAGACCAGAGGUACUGGAGGAAGGGACGUGUCUCACUGGAUGAACCUACUCAACCCAAAUAAGGAAGAGAAUGGCGAAUGUCACUCAAAUGAUUCAACGAAAGGUCCGUGGCCACAGGUCCCGCCUAGAACACGCAUCGCAGUACUCUCUCCUCAGCAACCCAGCAUGACCAAUAAUCAGUGAUCAUGACACCCACACUGGCCAAUUAGUUCUGACCAUGAUACCCUCAGAGCUCUCCCAGCACCCUUGAUAAGCCUGUCGCCCCUCAUGCUGGAGGUGACUUCCCUGGCCCAUGGAUACACGGACUGGUGAACCUUGCCUGGAACUGCGCUAAUAAACUUUUUUUUGGCUC